rnacentral:rRNA from 1 species
UACGGAGGAUGCAAGCGUUAUCCGGAUUCAUUGGGUUUAAAGGGUGCGUAGGCGGAUUAAUAAGUCAGUGGUGAAAUCUUGCGGCUCAACCGUAACAUUGCCAUUGAUACUGUUAGUCUUGAAUGCAGUUGAGGUAGGCGGAAUGUGUAAUGUAGCGGUGAAAUGCUUAGAUAUUACACAGAACACCGAUUGCGAAGGCAGCUUGCUAAACUGUGAUUGACGCUGAUGCACGAAAGCGUGGGGAUCAAACAGGAUUAGAAACCCCUGUAGUCC